rnacentral:rRNA from 1 species
CCUACGGGAGGCAGCAGUGAGGAAUAUUGGUCAAUGGGCGCGAGCCUGAACCAGCCAAGCCGCGUGAAGGAUGACUGCCCUACGGGCGGUAAACUCCUUUUAUAAAGGAAUAAAGUGAGGCACGUGUGUCUUCAUGUAUGUACUGUAUGAAUCAGGAACGGCGAACCACGUGCCAGCAGCCGCGGUAAUACGGAGGGUCCGAGCGUUAUCCGGAUUUAGUGGGUGUAAAGGGAGCGUAGAUGGGUUGUUAAGUCAGUUGUGAAAGUUUGCGGCUCAACCGUAAAAGUGCAAUUGAUACUGGCAGUCUUGAGUACAGAUGAGGUAGGCGGAAUUCGUAGUGUAGCGGUGAAAUGCUUAGAUAUCAGGAAGAACACCAGUUGCGAAGGCAGCUUGCUGGACUGCAACUGACGUUGAGGCUCGAAAGUGUGGGUAGCAAACAGGAUUAGAUACCCCUGUAGUC